rnacentral:rRNA from 1 species
CGUGUAGGCGGUUGGUCAAGUCUGAUGUGAAAGCCCGGGGCUUAGCUCCGGAAGUGCGUCGGAAACUAGCCAGCUGGAGCGCGAUAGAGGAGGGCGGAAUUCCUGGUGUAGCGGUGAAAUGCGUAGAUAUCAGGAGGAACACCGGCGGCGAAGGCGGCCCUCUGGAUCGUUGCUGACGCUGAGACGCGAAAGCGUGGGGAGCAAACAGGAUUAGAUACCCUGGUAGUCCACGCUGUAAACUAUGGGUACUAGGUGUUCGGGGUAUUGACCCCCUGAGUGCCGCAGCUAACGCAUUAAGUACCCCGCCUGGGGACUACGGCCGCAAGGUUAAA